rnacentral:rRNA from 1 species
GACGGCCUUCGGGUUGUAAACCUCUUUCAGUAGGGAAGAAGCGAAAGUGACGGUACCUGCAGAAGAAGCGCCGGCUAACUACGUGCCAGCAGCCGCGGUAAUACGUAGGGCGCAAGCGUUAUCCGGAAUUAUUGGGCGUAAAGAGCUCGUAGGCGGUUUGUCGCGUCUGCUGUGAAAGACCGGGGCUCAACUCCGGUUCUGCAGUGGGUACGGGCAGACUAGAGUGCAGUAGGGGAGACUGGAAUUCCUGGUGUAGCGGUGAAAUGCGCAGAUAUCAGGAGGAACACCGAUGGCGAAGGCAGGUCUCUGGGCUGUAACUGACGCUGAGGAGCGAAAGCAUGGGGAGCGAACAGGAUUAGAUACCCUGGUAGUCCAUGCCGUAAACGUUGGGCACUAAGUGUGGGGGACAUUCCACGUUUUCCGCGCCGUAGCUAACGCAUUAAGUGCCCCGCCUGGGGAGUACGGCCGCAAGGCUAAAACUCAAAG